AUGUUGUCUGUAGCUCUGCUGCUGCUGCUGCUGGCAGCUGGAUCCUGUGUGAACAGUCAGGAGUUGAAUCAACCAGCGUCUCUGACUGUCCAGCCAGGACAACCACUGACCAUCACCUGUCAGGUCUCUUAUUCUGUUAGUGACUACUGGACAGCCUGGAUCAGACAGCCUGCAGGAAAAGGACUGGAGUGGAUUGGAAUGAUAUAUACUGGGGACACAUCCUACAAACUACUACUACUACUUUCGAUGCUGAUCACUGCUUUUACUCAGUGCUGCUGCUUUGUCUCCACAGGUGUUUCUGGUUGGACCAUAACUGAGUCUGGGCCAGCGGCUAAAAGGCCUGGAGAGUCCCACAAACUGACCUGCACAUAUUCUGACAUCUCAACCGAUAGUGCUUUUGGCUGGAUCAGACAAGCACCAGGAAAAGGACUGGAAUGGAUUUCAUACAUCACUGGGCCAAGUGGAAGCAUUAAGUCCUACUCCCAGUCAGUCCAGGGUCGGUUCACCAUCUCCAGAGACAACAGCAGACAGCAGGUGUAUCUCCAGAUGAGCAGUCUGAAGACUGAAGACUCUGCUGUUUAUUACUGUGCCAGAGACACACAGUGA